rnacentral:rRNA from 1 species
CCUACGGGUGGCAGCAGUGGGGAAUAUUGCACAAUGGGGGAAACCCUGAUGCAGCAACGCCGCGUGAGUGAAGAAGUAUUUCGGUAUGUAAAGCUCUAUCAGCAGGGAAGAAGAUGACGGUACCGGAGUAAGAAGCCCCGGCUAAUUACGUGCCAGCAGCCGCGGUAAUACGUAGGGGGCAAGCGGUAUCCGGAUAUACUGGGUGAAAAGUGAGCGUAGACGGUGUGACAAGGCUGAAGUGAAAGCCCGGGGUUCAACCCCGGGACUGCUUUGGAAACUGCCUGACUGGAGUGCUGGAGAGGCAAGCGGAAUUCCUAGUGUAGCGGUGAAAUGCGUAGAUAUUAGGAAGAACACCAGUGGCGAAGGCGGCUUACUGGACUGUAACUGACGUUGAGGCUCGAAAGCGUGGGGAGCAAACAGGAUUAGAUACCCGAGUAGUC